GACGAACGCUGGCGGCGUGCUUAACACAUGCAAGUCGAACGGAAAGGCCCUGCUUUUGUGAGGUUCUCGAGUGCCGAGCGGGUGAGUAACACGUGAGUAACCUGCCCUUAUCUUUGUGAUAACUUCACGAAACUGCGGCUAAUACCGGAUAUGAGCUCCUGCUGCAUGUUGGUGGUUGGAAAGUUUCGGCGGUUGUGGCUGGACUCGCUGCUUCUGAGCUUCUUUGUGUGGUAGUUGCUUACGAAGGCUUUGACGGGUAGCCGGCCUGAGAGGGGGAACGGCGACAUGGGGACUGAGAGACGGACCAGAAGGGUACGGGAGGCAGUAGGGGGGAGUAUUGCACAAUGGGGGGAAGCCUGAGGCAGCAAUGUCGGGAGCGGGAUAACGGGUUUCGGGGUGUAAACAGAUGUGGCCGGUGACGAAGAGUGAGUGACGGUAAUGGGUAAAGAAGCAACGGCUAACUACGUG
rnacentral:rRNA from 1 species